AAGAACAGGAAAGUCCCUAGAUGUAGGUUCUUCUAGUAACUUUAACUGUCACUGUCAAACGCCCAUUGACUGUCAAGCAAGAUGCCAAGUGUCAAACUGAAUGUCAACUUGAGAUUAAUUAAUCCAAUAAGAUUUUAUAAAUUAAUGCAGAAAGUACUAAAAACAGAAUCCAAAUAAGUUUUAAGUAGCCGAACACACGUAUGAAAAGCUAAGAAUAGCAGGCGAUUUCUCACUUUGGUUUUUACGCUAUUCAUUAUGGAAAACACUCGUUCCACUGCAGCAUUGCUGAGAGGGAAAGUGAGCAAACGUAAAACAAUAGUUGCCAACUCUUUGAAUAUUUGUUGACCUGCGCCAUCAACAUAAUUGAAGACUAUCGGCCAGAAUUUCAAGAUAUUAUUGGGAACAUUUCCUCAGAAUUCUUCUUCCCAAUUUACAAGCUGUAAUUUGCGCCAUUGAUUCUCCACAGUAUUGAGAUCUUCACCAUAAAAGAAUGGUUGAAGAGAUAUGAUGCCCCAAUUACGUUUCUAAUUAAACCAGCACAUUUCGUAUGAUGCAGUUUUAAAUUGGUGAAACUACUUGAAGUUGGUGAAUUCAGUGAUUCUUGAUUCAGGAUUUCUCCCAGAUGAUCAACAGAUCUAAUAGAUGAAUGAAACAGGAUGUGCAUGGAUAGUUUUAAAUCAAUUUUUUUUUGUUCUUCACCACCAGUUGAGUGAAAUACCAAAGGAAAAUGCACCAUGAGAGUGGGAGAAUUGUCGACUCAUUAAAAUUAUAUGGAGCGAAUCUUGUGAUCCAAUAGUUUUUAAGUAUUAUUUAAAAAUCAGUGAUCAAGCUAAAUUAUAAGGGUGGGAAAUUAGCGGUAAAACAAUGGAUUGGAAGAUUGCAAUGCGGUGGAAGUUGUUCUUGCCGCCUUCAGAGGUGAUUGGUCCAUGGAAGGUUUUCAGGGGA